CCUACGGGAGGCAGCAGUGAGGAAUAUUGGUCAAUGGACGAGAGUCUGAACCAGCCAAGUAGCGUGAAGGAUGACUGCCCUAUGGGUUGUAAACUUCUUUUAUAUGGGAAUAAAAUGUUCCACGUGUGGGAUUUUGUAUGUACCAUAUGAAUAAGGAUCGGCUAACUCCGUGCCAGCAGCCGCGGUAAUACGGAGGAUCCGAGCGUUAUCCGGAUUUAUUGGGUUUAAAGGGAGCGUAGGGGGAUUGUUAAGUCAGUUGUGAAAGUUUGCGGCUCAACCGUAUAAUUGCAGUUGAAACUGGCAGUCUUGAGUACAGUAGAGGUGGGCGGAAUUCGUGGUGUAGCGGUGAAAUGCUUAGAUAUCACGAAGAACUCCGAUUGCGAAGGCAGUUCACUGGACUGCAACUGACACUGAGGCUCGAAAGUGUGGGUAUCAAACAGGAUUAGAUACCCCAGUAGUC
rnacentral:rRNA from 1 species